rnacentral:tRNA from 1 species
GCCUGGGUGGCUCAGUUGGUUGAGCGUCCGACUUCGGCUUAGGUCAUGAUCUCACCGUUCGUGGGUUGGAGCCCCACAUCAGGCU